GCCAGACUCCUACGGGAGGCAGCAGUGGGGAAUAUUGGGCAAUGGGCGCAAGCCUGACCCAGCAACGCCGCGUGAAGGAAGAAGGCUUUCGGGUUGUAAACUUCUUUUCUCAGGGACGAAGCAAGUGACGGUACCUGAGGAAUAAGCCACGGCUAACUACGUGCCAGCAGCCGCGGUAAUACGUAGGUGGCAAGCGUUAUCCGGAUUUACUGGGUGUAAAGGGCGUGUAGGCGGGAAAGCAAGUCAGAUGUGAAAACCAUGGGCUCAACCUGUGGCCUGCAUUUGAAACUGUUUUUCUUGAGUACUGGAGAGGCAGACGGAAUUCCUAGUGUAGCGGUGAAAUGCGUAGAUAUUAGGAGGAACACCAGUGGCGAAGGCGGAUUGCUGGACAGUAACUGACGCUGAGGCGCGAAAGCGUGGGGAGCAAACAGGAUUAGAUACCCGGGUAU
rnacentral:rRNA from 1 species